rnacentral:rRNA from 1 species
UACGAGGGGCCCAAACGUUAUUCGGAUUUACUGGGCUUAAAGAGUUCGUAGGCCGCGCGGAAAGUCGGGUGUGAAAGCCCUCGGCUCAACCGAGGAACUGCGCUCUAAACUACCGUGCUUGAGGAACCUAGAGGUGAGCAGAACUGAUGGUGGAGCGGUGAAAUGCGUUGAUAUCAUCAGGAAUACCGGAGGCGAAGGCGGCUCACUGGGGGUUUUCUGACGCUGAGGAACGAAAGCCAGGGGAGCAAACGGG